rnacentral:lncRNA from 1 species
AGGGAGGAGGUACAAGGAUUGGUUGAUGUACUAUCAGGUGGUUUCAUAUGGGGAGACUCCUCCAUGGAUUAAGGGAUGCACCGUGGCCGAAAACUGUAGCAGGGAAUUGCAGAAUCUUCAGUGAGUGAUCCAACUUACUAUAAAUAACAUUCCAUAACCUGAAAGCUUUAUUGUGCUUUUCAGGUAUGGGCUUGGCCUUUAAAUGAAGAUACAUUCUCACAAAAGUCAUUCCAAUGGUUAUGGAUUUAAAAUGGAAAGUUAUAAUUUCUGUUGACAUAACAUGUGCAUGGCUGCAAAAGGAUGACAGUAACAGCCACCAUGGGCAUGGUCAUACCCACCUGCCAGCUUUAGAUUUGUUGGGGAAAAGGGUGUUAAAAAGAUAACUUUUUUUUCCAAUGCUGCCAAAUUGUUAAAGCCUGCAGCUGCAUUAAAAUUCUCAUGGCAGCAAACCCCACAACCUAAGAUACUCUUGCAAUACUGACACCAAGCAGGCACAAGUACUAUAUGUUACGCAUGAGUAGAUUCCACCGUCAAUUCAUCACAUAACUAUAGUUACAUAAUUUGCCUGGCAUUGGUGUUUUGUAGUGCAGAAGAAUGCUACUUGUAAGCAUCUCGAAAAAAUUUACCGUCAUGAAGUGAAGUUUGAAAGCAUGAAAUCCAACAUUCACAUUUCACAAUGUAUGUUUUUUUAAAUUCUGCUUUUUUUUUUUUGAUUCUGAUAACUACAUUGUCAAGCAGAAUAGUUAGGCACUGAAAAUGGUGGAAUGAGAUUUUGGAGAAGCAUACCACUCGUGCAGGUUCUUAUCUUUGAUCAUUGUUGUUGAAACAGGUACAGAAGUUCUGCAAGCACCAGAUGUCUGAACUCCCUUGAACAAGUGCCUACCUGGCCAAGUUUUCAGAUGGUAAGUAUGAAUCUUCUAAAUAAUGUAGUAUUCAAAUCACAUUAAAAUUGACAAAUGGAUUGCUAACUUCUGCACAAUGAUUUAAGGUUAUCAUAGUGACAGGGACUUUUUUAUUUUCUGUUUCUUUUGUUUUUUCUUUUUCUUUUUGAGCAAAUGGGAAGGGAUACCCGGCCCAAAUUUUAUUAAGGGAAGAAGGUAACACAAGAAUUAGUAAGAAAAAUUCUCCAUCCAUGUUCCUUACUUGCCUUCAGGAAUGUCAGUCUUAUGAUCCUAGAAAUUACCAAUAUGCCUGUUUUGAUCGUGCAGUCAGAAGUUUGUGUUAUAGUUAUCACUAAACACUAACAGAAGAAGAUCCCCUCCAGAAAGUUGAUGCAUAUCUCACUUUGUUCUUCAUUCACUAUUUUCUGGUGCAAAAUAACCAGAGGAAGCAUUCGGUGCUAGUUUCCACAAGAAAAUUGUUCAUCAUGGGAAAUGUCUUCUGCAGGGAGAAGGCAAGAGUAACCUUAAACUUGGUACAUGACAGUCUGAUGCUGACAAGGCCAUGUACUUCACUCUCCCCCAACUCAAAUAUAAUGUCAACAUUCUUUUGGCAAUAUAUAAGAGGUAGCUAUAUACCCUGUUUAAGGUUCUAUAGCCUCCUCCAUGGAGGUGGCUACACUAACUUAUCCUUCAUUUUCACUGUUCUACCUACAAUUUUUAGUUGGAGAAGUUGGUUGGUUGUGUGUCCAUAUAAAAAAUGAUUUCACAUGCAGGUUGUGCCAGAAAAUAAUUUUAUUUGACUUGUCCAGUUCAUGGAAAGGAGCAAAGAAGCCUAUAUUCUCUUCCUCUUGCUUCAAUUUAGCAACCAUAUCAAAAAAGCCAGCUAAAAAUUUGUUCUACUGCACAAUUUAUGCCUGCAAAAUUGCUGAGAUGAUCUCAUCGACACUUCUUUUUAUGUUUGCUGUGCAGGCUCAGAUGGCAUAUCCACCUAAUUCGAAGGAAAAUAUAGAAGUUGAAAAAAUUAAAGCCUCCACAGCCAAUUCAGAGGCAUGUGAAGGUUUUACUAAACCCAAAAAUGAUAACUCCCUUCUGAAAAAUUUGGAUGAGGGUUUUCAUGAAGAAAUCAAUGAAAGCUUUGACAUCAGAUGCCUCCAAGAUAUGCUGGAAGAGUCCCAGUCAGAUUCACCAGUUUCCUUUUAUUCACACGUUGAAUCUACAGAAGCAAGUGAUUCCGAGGUAACGCAUACAGACAUCCACAUACUCAUACAUGGAAGGCGUAAUGCAAUUUGCAUAAUUUUGUUUUUGAACUCUCUGGUUUACUCUACUGAAAUACAAUAAGAUAACUUGAUGCACAAACCUAAACUGCCUGGCUAAUAAGGUAGCUUUGUCAAGCUCCUGGGUUGCUUGAUCUUAAACCGCAUGGCUAAUAAGAUAAAAUUUGUCCUGCCAACUGGUCUUCUAGCAUUCAAAGCAGCUAUUCCUUUGUGGAAAGUGCCUUGCCAAGGACCAACAAAGCAAGUCAGAACUGGCAGGUUGAGAGAUGGUGAUGUAAGGUUCUCAAAUUUUUUGAUGGAUAGUACAAAUUGAUCCAUAUAACCAAACUCAAAACUACAUGCGACAAGGCCUGCCAUUCAAUGUCUAUUUCGCAAUAAGAAUAUAUCUAACUUGGCAAGUAGAGUCAAUGAAACCGUGUAUUAUAAAAGAUGGGAUUCUAGGAUCUAAUGAUAAACCUACAUCAACUAAUAUUACAAUAAGAAAACCAAGCUUACUAUCAUCAUCAUGCCUUCAAUAAAGAGAACUAUCCUAAAGGCAACAGAAAUUGGAAAAAACUAGCAUAGUCGCUGGACCUGUCAUUUAUUAAUGAUCACUAUUCCUCUGAAUCAGAUGAGAAUGCAGGGUGAAGAUAUUCCAGAAAAGAUUCUGACAACCUAUGCUGAGCAUUCAGCAUCUAAUACUGGUGAGAGGUAUGUCCACAACAUAUUAUAUAGCAUCUACCAUCAGCUAUUACUGUUACCAGCUUCUUAUUAAAAAUUUAUUAUGUAAUUUGUAAUGUGUUCUUACAUUCAGCCAGCUGAUCAUUACAGGACCUACCUACCUAAUUACUCACCUCCUGAGUGUCUAGAGACAUCUCCUCCUGAUUGUCCAAGCUAUUCAAUGCAUGUGCAAGUCUGCGAAGCAAAUGCAAGUUGUCUGUUAUCUAGCAGAUCACAUAGUUCGCUCAACAAUUUAAGAUUUUCAAUCUUGGAUCUGAGAGAUGCAGAGACAUAUCCCUUAUUUAACUGUUCUGUAGAAGAUGAGACACCUACAGGAAGAUCACCAACACAUGAUUUAAGAUGCUUUAGCAAUUUCUCAUCCAAAUUUAGAAAGAAAUAUAGCAUAUCUGAAUUGGUUCCUCGAGGAAGUAUUGCCAAGAGGAAAGUAAACUUUUCAAACAGUGAGAAAGACUGGAGUGAUGAAAGCUCAGAUUAUGGAAAAGAUAAUCACUCUGAACUACUGGGAAGAUCUGAAAAGGCAGUUUCAGUUCUAUGUUUCUCAGAUGGUCCAGGAAAAUGUGAAGAUGCUGAUGUGGAAGUUUCAACUAUAUGGGAAUUGCUCAACACUAAGAAAGAGGUUAGAUAUGGCUCAGUAAAGCAAGAAAUUCUUGACCAAUUACUGCACAUCGUUUCAACUUCUAAAAAGGAGAAACUCAUUAGGGCAUCAGUAUCUAUGCUUUUACUUCUAAUAUCAGAAGACAAAGCAGUUAUAGAAGACAUUAAGAAAAAGGAUUUACAUCUGAGUAAAUUGGCCAGUGCAUUGAAGAGAAAUGUGCAAGAUGCUGCUAUUCUUAUCUAUUUACUAAGUCCAUCUCCUACAGAGAUAAAAGGUCUAGAGAUUCUACCAGCACUAGUGGAGGUUGCUUGCAACUCCGAUGGUCAGAAGAAGGGGUCUUUGUCACUUCCUUUAACACCAACAUCAGCAUCAAUAGCCUUGAUUGAAGUAUUAGUAACUGCAUUUGAUUAUGUAACAAAUAACAUGCACUUGGCAGCUAUUAGUUCUCCUCAGAUUCUCUCUAAGCUUGUAAAUGUUGCAAUGAACAAGAAUCUAGCAGAAGGUGUGGCUUUGGCAGCGAUUCUUGUUAGGUGCAUGCGUCUGAAUGGUAAUUGCAAAAAGUUUCUGUCACAAGUUACUCCUGUGGAUCCAUUUCUCUAUCUUCUGAGAAGUAAUGAGAGGCGUGCAAAGUUUGCUGCGCUUGAAUAUUUCCAUGAGAUUCUUCGCAUGCCACGGUAUAUUUAUAUGCUUUGAAUUGCUUAUUUAAAUAGCUAAUCUCAAUUCACGUGUCUGAUCUUGUAUGUAAUAGAUGGAUAUGUUAUCUCUAUGAUUUGGGCUUGGAUUUUGACUAUUUCACAUCCAGUUCUACUUUUUGAGGCUUGUUAUUUCUCAGUAAACCAAAUCAUCAACCAUAAACAGAAAUAUCUGUCUCGGAUAACUUGCAGAAUGACAGCACUAAACAUAGCAACACAUUUAGAACAUUUUAAGUUUUGUACAUCAAAUAUUUCAUGCGAGCAAACAGCAUAGAUAUAACUUAGCAAACCUUUGCAUAUAAAUGUAGGUAUGCAAAUAGGAUGUUCUUGGGCUAUGGAUUUCCGAAACUUUCGAUUGCCAGCCUGA